rnacentral:rRNA from 1 species
AUGCACGCUGGCGGCGUGCCUAAUACCUGCAAGUCGAGCGAACAGACGAGGAGCUUGCUCCUCUGACGUUAGCGGCGGACGGGUGAGUAACACGUGGAUAACCUACCUAUAAGACUGGGAUAACUUCGGGAAACCGGAGCUAAUACCGGAUAAUAUAUUGAACCGCAUGGUUCAAUAGUGAAAGACGGUUUUGCUGUCACUUAUAGAUGGAUCCGCGCCGCAUUAGCUAGUUGGUAAGGUAACGGCUUACCAAGGCAACGAUGCGUAGCCGACCUGAGAGGGUGAUCGGCCACACUGGAACUGAGACACGGUCCAGACUCCUACGGGAGGCAGCAGUAGGGAAUCUUCCUCAAUGGGCGAAAGCCUGACGGAGCAACGCCGCGUGAGUGAUGAAGGUCUUCGGAUCGUAAAACUCUGUUAUUAGGGAAGAACAAAUGUGUAAGUAACUAUGCACGUCUUGACGGUACCUAAUCAGAAAGCCACGGCUAACUACGUG